CCUACGGGGGGCAGCAGUGGGGAAUAUUGCGCAAUGGGCGAAAGCCUGACGCAGCGACGCCGCGUGAGGGAUGAAGGUCUUCGGAUCGUAAACCUCUGUCAGCAGGGAAGAACGGUCACUGUGCUAAUCAGCAGUGAAUUGACGGUACCUGCAAAGGCAGCACCGGCUAACUCCGUGCCAGCAGCCGCGGUAAUACGGAGGGUGCGAGCGUUAAUCGGAAUUACUGGGCGUAAAGCGCUCGUAGGCGGUAUGUCAAGUCAAGGGUGAAAUCCCCGCGCUCAACGGGGGAACUGCCUUUGAAACUGGCAAACUGGAGUGUGUGAGAGGAUAGUGGAAUUCCAGGUGUAGGAGUGAAAUCCGUAGAUAUCUGGAGGAACAUCAGUGGCGAAGGCGACUAUCUGGAACAUAACUGACGCUGAGGAGCGAAAGCGUGGGUAGCAAACAGGAUUAGAUACCCUAGUAGUC
rnacentral:rRNA from 1 species